AUUGAACGCUGGCGGCAUGCUUUACACAUGCAAGUCGAACGGCAGCGCGGGCUUCGGCCUGGCGGCGAGUGGCGAACGGGUGAGUAAUGCAUCGGAACGUGCCCAGUAGUGGGGGACAGCCCGGCGAAAGCCGGAUUAAUACCGCAUACGACCUGAGGGUGAAAGCGGGGGACCGAAAGGCCUCGCGCUAUUGGAGCGGCCGAUGUCGGAUUAGCUAGUUGGUGGGGUAAAGGCUUACCAAGGCGACGAUCCGUAGCUGGUCUGAGAGGACGACCAGCCACACUGGGACUGAGACACGGCCCAGACUCCUACGGGAGGCAGCAGUGGGGAAUUUUGGACAAUGGGGGCAACCCUGAUCCAGCCAUGCCGCGUGCGGGAAGAAGGCCUUCGGGUUGUAAACCGCUUUUGUUCGGGAAGAAAUCCUCUGGGCUAAUACCCCGGGGGGAUGACGGUACCGGAAGAAUAAGCACCGGCUAACUACGUG
rnacentral:rRNA from 1 species